UACGUAGGGUGCAAGCGUUGUCCGGAUUUAUUGGGCGUAAAGAGCUCGUAGGCGGUUUGUCGCGUCGGCCGUGAAAUCUCCACGCUUAACGUGGAGCGUGCGGUCGAUACGGGCAGACUUGAGUUCGGUAGGGGAGACUGGAAUUCCUGGUGUAGCGGUGAAAUGCGCAGAUAUCAGGAGGAACACCGGUGGCGAAGGCGGUUCUCUGGGCCUUACCUGACGCUGAGGAGCGAAAGCGUGGGGAGCGAACAGG
rnacentral:rRNA from 1 species